rnacentral:lncRNA from 1 species
UGAUACCCUUUUUAGUUCCCAUCAUCUCACUCUCCGUUUUCUCUCUCUAAAAACCAUUUGUGUUUCACAAUCUCAAAUCUAACAGCGAAGUAUUAGCAAAGCAAAGAGAAGCUUUUAGAGAGAGAGAGGAAAAAAAAUCAUUCUCUUUCUCUCUUCGUUGUGUUUUUUUUUGGUUCUUUCUAUUUUUGUACAACACUUCCAGCUUUACAGCUCACAACACUUACAUUUCUUCCUCUCUCUCUCUCUCACACACAUACUGUCUCUCUUUUUGUGUUUUGUGCUGAAAUGAGCUAAGGAUACUCACUUGUAGAUCGAAUCUAAGAUUGUUUUCACAGGUACUACUGGCUCUGUUUAUUUGUUUGUAUAUUUCUGUUAAAUUGAUUUUUUUUAGUUGUACUGUGUGCAUCAACAGUUGCACAUUCUCAUGGGGUUUGAUGUUUGUGGGUUCUUUUGUAUUUUUAUUUAUUUAGUGGAAUUGGAUGUUGUACUGAGUGACUUAACAGUUGUACAUUGUUCUGCUUGUACACUUGUAAAAAAAGAAAAAAAGUUUGGCUUCAAUUUUUUUCUGGUGAGGAGUUGGAAUAGAGCUAGUAAAGAUUCAGAAUUUAACUAUUAUGACACUUUGAAAUGUUAAUUACGAGUUAGAGGGGUUUCUCUUUGUUGAAAAUAAAGGAAGUGAAGGAUUUAAAGAAGAUAACUUUAAUGCACAAGUGUGGAUCGGACAACUAUUUAGUUUAUGAAAGUGGCCAGCAGCGAUAGCUGAAUGCAUUGCUUUGAGAAUUAUCUCUGGUUUUGUCACUCCAUUUAUUUAAAAAAUAUGUUUUUCCUGUUCAUUUUCAACUCUUGAAAUGUUUCCUUGAUCAUAACGGGAUGUUUGUGACUUUGUGUUUUGCCAGGGAGCAUUCCUUAUCUUUUUCUGCUGCCUUAUUUGUGGUGUCAUCAACUUGUCAACUGUAUGUCCAAAGGAGGCGAAGUGCAGCUUGGUGUAUCAGAUGUUUUUUAGUAACAUUAUUAUUAUGCUUGACCAGUGCCGAGAUGGGCAGCUUCUAUCUGAUAUUGCAGGAGCUGUUGCUUUUAAGCAUACUGUUAUUUUGCAUUGUUGUAGAAGUUGCACAAGCUCUCAGUCCUGAUGGUAUAGUUAUUACUCUUGUCUUUGGUUUUCCUGCCUGGGUUGUCCAUGUUAUCUAUAGUCUAGGUUCUAAGUCGUAAUAUAAUACUCUCCCCGUUUCAAUAUAUGCGACACACUUUCCUUCAGUGUUUUGGAUGGCAUGCGAUGACAAAUAGCGACGAGGGCACGCUUCAGUGAGGCGAGAGGCGCGCAGCGAAGCGCUCGCCUUU